AGUGAACGCUGGCGGUAGGCCUAACACAUGCAAGUCGAACGGCAGCACAGCAGUAGCAAUACUGUGGGUGGCGAGUGGCGGACGGGUGAGGAAUACAUCGGAAUCUACCUUUUCGUGGGGGAUAACGUAGGGAAACUUACGCUAAUACCGCAUAAGACCUUCGGGGAAAGUGGGGGACCUUCGGGCCUCACGCGGAUAGA
rnacentral:rRNA from 1 species